UACAGAGGGUGCAAGCGUUAAUCGGAAUUACUGGGCGUAAAGGGCGCGUAGGCGGAUCAUUAAGUUAGAUGUGAAAUACCUGGGCUUAACCUAGGAAGUGCAUUUAAAACUGAUGUCCUAGAGUACUGUAGAGGUCAGUGGAAUUUCCGGUGUAGCGGUGAAAUGCGUAGAUAUCGGGAAGAACACCAAUGGCGAAGGCAACUGACUGGACAGCUACUGACGCUGAGGCGCGAAAGCAUGGGAAGCAAACAGG
rnacentral:rRNA from 1 species